GCUCUAGCUCAACUGGAGAGCAUCUGCUUUGCAGGCAGAGGGUUCCAGGUUCAGUCCCUGGCAUCUACA